GACAGAGGUGCCGAGCGUUAGGCGGAAUCACUGGGCUUAAAGCGUGUGUAGGCGGGCGAUCAAGUACCUUGUGAAAAUCCCCACGGCUCAACCGUGGAACCGCUGGGUAUACUGGUUGUCUUGAGCCGGCUAGGGGCGAGCGGAACAGACGGUGGAGCGGUGAAAUGCGUAGAUAUCGUCUGGAACGCCGAAGGUGAAAACAGCUCGCUGGGGCCGCGCUGACGCUGAGACACGAAAGCCAGGGGAGCGAACGGG
rnacentral:rRNA from 1 species